rnacentral:rRNA from 1 species
GACGAACGCUGGCGGCGUGCCUAAUACAUGCAAGUAGAACGCUGAAGGAGGAGCUUGCUCUUCUGGAUGAGUUGCGAACGGGUGAGUAACGCGUAGGUAACCUGCCUGGUAGCGGGGGAUAACUAUUGGAAACGAUAGCUAAUACCGCAUAACAGUAGAUAUCGCAUGAUAGCUGCUUGAAAGGUGCAAUUGCACCACUACCAGAUGGACCUGCGUUGUAUUAGCUAGUUGGUGAGGUAACGGCUCACCAAGGCAACGAUACAUAGCCGACCUGAGAGGGUGAUCGGCCACACUGGGACUGAGACACGGCCCAGACUCCUACGGGAGGCAGCAGUAGGGAAUCUUCGGCAAUGGACGGAAGUCUGACCGAGCAACGCCGCGUGAGUGAAGAAGGUUUUCGGAUCGUAAAGCUCUGUUGUAAGAGAAGAACGAGUGUGAGAGUGGAAAGUUCACAGGG